rnacentral:rRNA from 1 species
AUUGAACGCUGGCGGCAGGCCUAACACAUGCAAGUCGAGCGGCAGCGCGGGGCAACCUGGCGGCGAGCGGCGAACGGGUGAGUAAUACAUGGGAAUCUGCCUGGUAGUGGGGGAUAACUCUGGGAAACUAGAGGUAAUACCGCAUACGUCCUACGGGAGAAAGCGGGGGAUCUUCGGACCUCGCGCUAUCAGAGGAGCCCAUGUCCGAUUAGCUAGUUGGUGAGGUAAAGGCUCACCAAGGCGACGAUCGGUAACUGGUCUGAGAGGAUGGUCAGUCACACUGGAACUGAGACACGGUCCAGACUCCUACGGGAGGCAGCAGUGGGGAAUAUUGGACAAUGGGGGCGAACCCUGAUCCAGCCAUGCCGCGUGUGUGAAGAAGGCCUCGGUUGG